UGCGGUGAAACACCUGGGUGUGUAGCUGGU
rnacentral:piRNA from 1 species